rnacentral:rRNA from 1 species
GAUGAACGCUAGCGGCAGGCUUAAUACAUGCAAGUCGAGGGACAGCACAGGUAGCAAUACUGGGUGGUAACCGGCAAACGGGUGGGGAACACGUAGACAACCUUCCUUUAAGUGGGGGAUAGCCCAGAGAAAUUUGGAUGAAUACCUAGUAAUAUAGUUGAAUGGCAUCAUUUGAUUAUUAUAGCUACGGCGCUUAAGGCUGGGUGCGCGGCUGAUUAGAUAGUUGGCGGGGUAACGGCCCACCAAGUCUACGAUCAGUAGCUGAUGUGAGAGCAUGAUCAGCCACACGGGCACUGAGACACGGGCCCGACUCCUACGGGAGGCAGCAGUGGGGAAUUUUGGACAAUGGGCGCAAGCCUGAUCCAGCAAUGCCGCGUGCAGGAUGAAGGCCUUCGGGUUGUAAACUGCUUUUGUACGGAACGAAAAGCCCCGGGUUAAUACCCUGGGGUCAUGACGGUACCGUAAGAAUAAGCACCGGCUAACUACGUGCCAGCAGCCGCCGUAACAC